UACGUAGGGUGCAAGCGUUGUCCGGAAUUAUUGGGCGUAAAGAGCUCGUAGGCGGUCCGUCGCGUCGGCUGUGAAAACUUGGGGCUCAACCCCAAGCCUGCAGUCGAUACGGGCAGACUAGAGUGCGGUAGGGGAGACUGGAAUUCCUGGUGUAGCGGUGAAAUGCGCAGAUAUCAGGAGGAACACCGGUGGCGAAGGCGGGUCUCUGGGCCGUAACUGACGCUGAGGAGCGAAAAGCGUGGGGGAGCGAACAGG
rnacentral:rRNA from 1 species